GACGAAGGUGGCGAGCGUUACUCGGAAUUACUAGGCGUAAAGCGUGUGUAGGCGGCUUGACAAGUCUGUUGUGAAAGCUCCUGGCUCAACUGGGAGAGGCCAAUGGAAACUGUCAGGCUUGAAUCGCGGAGAGGUCACUGGAAUUCCUGGUGUAGCGGUGAAAUGCGUAGAUAUCAGGAGGAACACCGAUGGCGAAAGCAGGUGACUGGACGCGUAUUGACGCUGAGGCACGAAAGCUAGGGGAG
rnacentral:rRNA from 1 species